UCCAUUCCAUCUGCUCUUCGACGUAACAAUCCAAGGAUAUAGAAUCUGGUUAGAUUACUAACCAACAAAUUGUCAACCAAAUAAUGUAUUCCGAGUCCAAUUCCCUUCCAAACAAACACCUUCUUAGGGUUUAGGCCCUGUCUGUGUCUCUGGCUCGCUCGAAAGGGAAGGGUUUUGUAGCGAGCAAUGGCGAAUCGCACGGACCCAGCGGCGAAGAGCAUAAGGGAAACAAACUAUCAGAAGCUGGUGGACAAGGGCAUGGAGCUCGAAACCCAUCCCCACAAAGACAUCUUCGUCGAGUUCAUAAAGAACCAAGAUUACAAGUCACUAGUGUCUCAUCUCCAAUCUUUAAUUAAAUUUAGAUUUGAAGAAAAGUUUGGUGAAAAUGAGAUCUUAUCCUUUCAUUAAACUUGUAUCAAAUCAAGUUUUCCCCCAAAUUCAGGGGCAUGGAGAAGACCAUUUCAAAAAUGAAGAAAGCUAGUGGGUUCGAAGACGCAUAUUUGCACAAUACUCAUCGAAACUUCCAGUAUUCUUAACAGUCAGAGCAAAACAUAUCCUUUUUAUGAGCAGUAAUUUUGUCAUUUUGUUGUAAUUCCUAUGAUUUAUUUGAAUGAUGCAUUUGGUCCAGGGAUCUGGUGGGAAGGAUUGGGUCUCAGAUUUGAAUCCACAUUCCAAUCCUUUUUUUGGGUUGCAACACUGCAAUUGGACUUGGAUACCCAUUUGAAACCAGCAAUUGAAUUUUAGUUACAAAGCAAAUUCACAAAUUCAAUUAUGGAUUUACAAACCAGAUCAUACCAGUACUUAUUUCUUACCAAGGUCAGAAAUUGAGAUUGGUGUGGCUCUGUUUACAAGGACCAUAUAUAUCUUUUAUGUCAAAUGAAAAAUUGUCACUGGGCGAAGCUUCAUGUAGAAAUGAGGAAAUAUGUUGUAUUUUUAGAUAUAGGUAGGGCUGGGACCUGGAUUGUAACAAUUCUAGAACUUUUGCUCCAUUCUUUGGGUCGUAACUUCGUAAGGCUAUUCCUGACCUAGAAUUUUGUAACGAAUCUGGAUUGUUUAAAAUGGUCACAUUGGUUGUAAGGUUAUUCCAACCAUUUAGUGGAAAUAUCAUGUUAUAGUUUAUUAGGUUGACAUUUCGGUCGGUGUUUUCUUUGACAACUAUGUUCUUCCUAAUUUUUUUAGAGAUUCUUUUGAGUAGUUUUCUGUACUUACAUAUUCCAUGCUGGUAGAUGGACUCUUGAAUCCAUUGGUUCACUGGAUCUGAGAAAAAGUGCUUUGGAAGAUGAUUUUGAAGAGGAGGAAGAAAAAGAUGAGGAAGAUGAACUCAAUGCUGACUUAGAUGCUGGUGCUCAUGAAAGGGAUUUUAUUACUGUGGACGAAGUUCCACAACGGAAAGAGAUAGGGAUAGAAAACGCGACAGUCACAGGUACAGGUACAGGGAUCGCAAUUGCGACAGAGAAAGCAGAUGAGGGCGUGACAGAGAGAGGGAUAGAGACAUGGAUAUAGAUAGGGACAGAGACAGGGACCGCCAUCGCCUGAGAGAUGACAAGGAUUAUGGUUGUGAGAGGGAGCGAGAAAGGGAGAGGGGAAGGUAGGGAAAUAGGUGAGAUGGGAGCAUGGCAGGCGGAGGAACCAUUCAAGGAACCGAACCAUUCAAGGAACCGAAGUAGGAGUAGGGACCGCUAGGAUUGUGAUUGUGAUGGAGAGCAUCAUAAGAGGCAUGCCCGCAGCAGUGCCAGCCCUAGAAGGCGUGGGGAUGGCCCAGAGGACGGGAACGCUCGAGAUGAACCAAAGAAGAACAGAAGGAUGAUGGGUUGGAGCACCUGGCUUCUGAGAUUGCUGAAGCAAACAAACUCCGGGCGGCCCUUGGGUUGAAACCCCAAACAACCUCCUAUGCUUAAAAAGUAAAAAAAUUAUUUAAAAUAUUAAAAAAAAUUCAGUAAAAAUAAAAAAACAUGAAAAAUAAUAAAGUGAAAAUUUUUAAACAUUUUUUUAUGAUCAAUAAAAAAAUAAAUUUUUUGAAUAGAAAAUAUUUUUUGGAUUAAAUUUUUUACUAAUGUUGUUCCACCACCACCGUUAUCCUAUUACAACAAUUGUUGGUGCUGCAACUUCCACCACAGCCACCCCAUUGUGUGCCCCCACAAGUGUCAUCACUUUGCCGCCGCCUUCACACUACCGCCACUAUUGCAACUGCUUGGACAUUAGUUUUGGAUUCAGAUUGCCCCGGUUAAACCUAUAUUUAUAUGCUCAAAUAUUUUUGCUUAAGGUGCAAAAUUAGAACGUGUGGUGGAUGUACGGAAAAAGGGGAUAAAUUACACCGAUCACUUUUAAAACUUAUGAAUAAAUUUAACAAGCUAAACAUAAUUAUAUUGA